UGGGGAAUAUUGCGCAAUGGGCGAAAGCCUGACGCAGCAACGCCGCGUGAGGGAACGAAGGCCCUAGGGUUGUAAACCUCUUUCAGCAGGGACGAAGCGAAAGUGACGGUACCUGCAGAAGAAGCACCGGCUAACUACGUGCCAGCAGCCGCGGUAAUACGUAGGGUGCAAGCGUUGUCCGGAUUUAUUGGGCGUAAAGGGCUCGUAGGCGGUCCGUCACGUCGGAAGUGAAAACCUAGAGCUUAACUCUGGGCCUGCUUUCGAUACGGGCGGACUUGAGUUCGGUAGGGGAGACUGGAAUUCCUGGUGUAGCGGUGGAAUGCGCAGAUAUCAGGAGGAACACCAAUGGCGAAGGCAGGUCUCUGGGCCGAUACUGACGCUGAGGAGCGAAAGCGUGGGGAGCGAACA
rnacentral:rRNA from 1 species